UACUGCGAGCUGGCAAACCAAAAACUUCCACAGAGUUUUAGUAAGGGGUAACAGUCCCCUUACAUAAGCAAGGCCCUCAGGAUUUGUCCUAGAGUUAUUAGUUGCUAUAAUAACUAGUACCACAUGCCAAUGUGUUUCUUUCUGUAUGUGCGGACAAAGCUUUUUCUGUAAGGAGAUACUGCCAAAACCUUGUCUCUCGAGCCCCAAUUUAUCCUAAUUGUACACAUAUAUGGCACUGUGAUGGGAACCACAAGCUUAGAUUUUAAAGGUUAUUUUAUAAACUAGUAUAAUCAGCCACAGGGAUUCAUUGCCAUGGGGCAUACAGUCACAUACUUUGCUGGAAUUUACAAAAGCCUGGAUAAGUUUACAAUUGAUAGUAGCUACUCGCAUAACUACAGUUGUUAGGGUAAGGAUAAUCAAAUUGCAUGCUUCACAGCAUAAGCUGGUCACUACUGGCCAGAGAAGACUUUUCCCCUUGCACAUGCAACAUUACACAAUUGGCUCCAUUUGUCCAUAUUUGAGUGGGGAGGAUUGUCUGCCAGGGACAGGGCUCAAUGGACUGUGAUCUGACUCGCAGUGUCAAAAAGCAUUGAUGCCAUUGAUUUCAAACCUUGUCAUGCAGUAUUGGGAUUUACUUCUUAAAGACAAGAGUUUUUGUGACAUACCACUUUACUCUUCAGUUUGGAUUCCACACCUUCCCUGCAACAUUUUUAUUCCUUGUGUAUAUGAAAAACGUAUUAUUAAGACAUAAGUAGGGGGAUGUGCCCUCUGCUUGCUAUGCUCACCUACCCGCCUCUCUCUGGCCACUUUCGCUUCGCUGAGAGAGCCUGAUUAUUCUGAUGACGUCAUUCUGUCGUCUGGCGGGAACAUUCUUUUUAUAUAGAGAAAUAAGGAGAUAGGAUUAAAAUUAACUUACUUUGAUGCCAUAGGCACUUGACUAUGAACUCCCCUUUGGUAUUUGUGCUGAUUUGUUCUCCUGUUCUGGUCUACAAGGCUUUACAUUUAUUAGGACUAAAUCCUCUGAUUGCCUGCAACCACCACUGCUUCAUGCCAUUUUGUAGUUUGUUACUGUCCUCCUCUGUGUUAUUGUGCAUUCAAUUUGAUUUCACCUGUAAAUUUUGAUCAAGUUUGAGCUUACACCAAAGAAAUACCCAGCACAGAAAGAGACAUAAGGCACCUGUGAAAAGUGCUGGGAGAUGCUUGUUAAUUUUUAGUUGACCAAGAGGAAAAAAAGAGAAGUAUCCAGGAUGCCUGUGUGUCCUAGACUGAGCUACUUAAAAAAAGUGUAGCCCCCUGACUUUUUCUGGGAGGAUCCUUUUGUGCUGCAAUCUAGCCCUAGAGACUACAACUCCCAUCAGCCCUUGGGAAAAAGGGGGAACAGUGUCUCUUUCAGGUUAUGCAAACAGAGAGUUAGGAGUCUCCAUUUUGGGAGAGAGGAGACAGGCUGCUUUGGAGGAGCCUUAUCCAGUCCAGGAGCUGUUGUGUUGCAGCUAGAGCCUGGGACUGAAAGCCUGCGGGGCUUGGAUCUAGCAGGAUGCUUCAGAGGCUGCUGAUUGUCCCUAGAGGGGAGAGACUGGCUGUGCCUGUGGCUGAGAGGAGCCUACAUAAACUUGCAGGAGGAUUAGCCAACAUUCCAUGGAGAUGUAUGAAACAGUCCACACCUCGCUCAGAACUAUUGCUUGGAGAAGUCUGUGUGACUUGCAGCUGUUUACAUAACCAUGUCUCUUUGUACUUGGUUCAUGUCUGGAAAAGUUUCUUCACAACUAUAAGGUCUAGAAACAGGAAUUGGAUACAGUGCUCAAGUGCUCAUGUCAGCUAACUGCUAAGUUGACUGCCAAAAAAAGUAGAGUUUUCCAGUGCCUU